rnacentral:lncRNA from 1 species
AUUUCAAAUACGGUGACUGUUUCUUACGUGGACGACGUUGUGUUGAACAUGGGAUCUACACAUUAAGAAACAAAGACAUGAACGUCUCCAUGGAAAGACUGGGAAAAUGGAUUGCAGGUUCUAGCAGGAUGUCAUAAUAAAUGGUGCAUAUCCAGAGUGCAAGAUGAUUCAGUCUCACCAAGAACACUGAAAGUCACAUGGCUACCAGCAUUAUUGUGAUAAGAACUACUAUUUUGGGAGAUAGUUUAGCAAAGGUGCCAUGUAGAAAUUGAUUAAGUCAGAGGUAUCUUUAACUUGCCACCACAGAGAAGAGAUUAAUUUCAUAUACUUCCAUUGAGAAGAGAGAUAAGAAUACAAAACCAAGCUGAUUUGCAGGAGUAAACUUGAUAUUCAAAUACUAUUUCCUGAAUGACAUUUUCUGAGACAUGCUAAUUGUAAUUACUUUCAGCUUCAAAACAUAAUAAAUUUAUCUCAUAGUAAGCAUAUAGAUGGAAUAAAUAAAAUGUGAACUUAGGUAAAUUAUAAAUUAAUAAAGUAUAUUUUUAAAAUUUCCAUUUUAAUUUCUGUUUAAAUUAGAAUAAGAAACAAAAACAACUAUGUAAUACGUGUGCAAAGCCCUGAACUGAGAUUUGACUUUACCUUGAGCUUUGUCAGUUUACGAUGCUAUUUCAGUUUUGUGCUCAGAUUUGAGUGAUUGCAGGAAGAGAAUAAAUUUCUUUAAUGCUGUCAA